GAUGAACGCUGGCGGCGUGCUUAACACAUGCAAGUCGAACGGAAAGGCCGAAGCUUGCUUCGGUACUCGAGUGGCGAACGGGUGAGUAACACGUGGGUGAUCUGCCCUGUACUUCGGGAUAGGCUUGGGAAACUGGGUCUAAUACCGGAUAUGACGAUCUCUUGGAUGGGGUUGUGGAAAGCUUUUGCGGUAUGGGAUGAGCUCGCGGCCUAUCAGCUUGUUGGUGGGGUAAUGGCCUACCAAGGCGUCGACGGGUAGCCGGCCUGAGAGGGUGUACGGCCACAUUGGAACUGAGAUACGGCCCAGACUCCUACGGGAGGCAGCAGGGGGGAAUAUUGCACAAUGGGCGCAAGCCUGAUGCAGCGACGCCGCGUGGGGGAUGACGGCCUUAGGGUUGUAAACUCCUUUCGCAAUCGACGAAGCCUUUUGGUGACGGUAGGUUGAGAAGAAGCACCGGCUAACUACGUG
rnacentral:rRNA from 1 species